UGGUGGAGUGAUUUGUCUGCUUGAUUGCGAUAACGAACGAGACCUUUACAUACUAAAUAGCCCGUAUUGCUUAGGCAGUACGCUGGCUUCUUAGAUGGACUGCUGGUGCAAGCCAGCGGAAGUUAGAGGCAAUAACA
rnacentral:rRNA from 1 species